rnacentral:lncRNA from 1 species
AUGAAAGAGCUGGAACACAUAAGAAGCAGUGGUGACCCCCCCAGCCCCCCCCCAGCCUGCUGGAAGGUCUUCCUAGUUACCUGUGUUAUAUCAGUGGUGCCCCCCCCAGCCUGCUGGAAGGUCUUCCUAGUUACCUGUGUUAUAUCAGUGGUGCCCCCCCCAGCCUGCUGGAAGGUCUUCCUAGUUACCUUGUGUUAUAUCAGUGGUGAUCCCCCCCAGCCUGCUGGAAUUUUCUAGUUACCUGUUGUUUAUCGUGGUGCCCCCCCCAGCUGCGGAAGGUCUUCCUGUUACCCGUGUUUUAUCAGUGUGACCCCCCCCCCCCCCUCCCAGCCUGCUGGAGGUCUUCCUAGUUACCUGUGUUAUAUCAGUGGUGAUCCCCCCCCAGCCUGCUGGAAGGUUUUUCCUAGUUACCUGGUUAUAUCAGUGGUGACCCCCCCCC